GGAAUAGUGGAGUAGCAAAUUUCCGGAGCACAUCACCGAAAGGCUGUUGAAUCUCUUUGUGUGUGUGGAUAAAGUUUUGUUAUCAUUUGUUUUUCUUUUUGUCUACGCAAGCAAUUGCGGUCUUGAUCGAUCGGAAUUAAUAGAUGGAGAACGAAAGGCAGAAUCUAGAGCUGAAGCAUCUAGGUUUUGUUAGGAUCGCUGUGAUUCAGACGAUUGUAUGUGUUACGAAUCUCUAUGAUUACGCGAAGCAGAACUCCGGACCUCUGAGAUCUGCGGUUGAAAGUGUGGAGAGCGCUGUUAACACAGUUGUAGCUCCUGCCUACGAGAAGCUCCGAAUCGCACCUGAUGAUGUUCUUGUUUUUCUUGACGAGAAGGUUGACAAAGCGACACAUGAGUUUGAUAAGCGUGCUCCUCCUCUGGCAAAACAAGCCGUUCAAAUUACGCAGCAUUGUAUCCAAAAAGCUGCUCGAACUGGGCAAGAAUUUGUGAAUGAGUUUCAAACGAGCGGACCACGCGCAGCGUUCUACUAUGCAGCGAACGGGUACAAGCAGUUGGUUCUAACCCAAGGAGUGAAGGUUUGGGCAUGUCUCAACCGGCUCCCAUCGUUCCACAAGUUCGCAGACAUGGCAGUGCCAACUGCGGCUCAGUGGUUGGAGAGGUACAACUGCAAGGUGAAAGAUAUGAGGCAGAAGGGCUACCACGUCUUUGACUAUUGUCCUGAAGUUCCUCUGAGUGAGAUAGCUGAGGCAUUUAAGCAGGGCAAGGCCAAGAAGAAAGAAGCACCUCCAACUACUCCUGAACAAGCUCCACCGAAGAACAAACCGGGUUCAGAUUCCGAUUCUGAAUCCGAAUCCGAAUCCGAGUUGGUUUCGGUUCCAAACUAGAAAAGGGUUUUUAGUUUCAAUACCUAAUCACCUGGUUUGCAAGAGUUUAUGGUUCAUGUUCAUGAUGUUGAUAUGGGACUAGCUCAAUGUUUGUAUAUAGUUUGGACAAAUAAUUGAAGUUUUAGUUUCCGUGUGCGUGGAGGAAGGAUAAUAAAAUCAGUUAUGUCUAGCUAAAACGUGGAGACACGAGUGAUGGACGCAACACAAUGCUGGCCUCAAGAACUACUGAACAAAGGGAUUCAACCAUAUCUGCUUUAUUUAUAAAUUGAAGUUUCUGGCCUUUCAGGAACGACGGUA